UUUUAUUCCAUAAUCUUGUUUAUGUUCGGUCGGUGAGACUCUUGUAAUAAGUUUGUCAAACCUAGUGAAGGGGAGACAACUUAGUGAUUAGUCGUGAGACUUGUGAUAAGUUCGUCAAACCUAGUGAAGGGGAGACGACUUAGUAAUUGGUCGAUGAGACGUUGUAUCGCUUCUAGUGAAGAGCCAAUACUGAUUAUAGUGAAUUCGUUGGUGAGGGUAGUGAACCCGAAUGGGGGCGUAGGUUGCGAUUGUGUGUGAACCACAUAUAUCUUGUGUUUGAUUGCUUGGUUGGUUUGAGUUAUUCUUGCCAUAACCAUCGAAUCAGAUUGAAGAGCAAAAGGAAAGAAUUUGAAGGAGCACGAUUCACCCCCUCUCGGUGCUGUAUUGGGACUAACAUAAGGCAAUUGACUUUAGGGAUCCCCAGUGGGUUGUACCGACCAACCUUGAUCUUUGAAAGGGAUUGAGUUUGAGCAUGCCUAUUGGGACCCAAAAGAUAGUGAACUAUGCUUGAGCAAGGAAGCCGAGGAAACUCUAGCGGUGGCCCAGAAUCUUGACGCAAAUCGUUAGUCCGGCUUGGUAUAGGGCGAAAGACUAAUCGAACCAUCUAGUAUGGUUCUUUCCCUUAGGAUAGGCGAGUUCUAUCAAGUAAAGCCAAUGAUUAGAGGCAUUGUGGUGCCUCGACUUAUUCUCAAACUCUAAAUAGGUAGGAUGGCGAUUUGUUGAGCCACGCCCAAAUCAAGAGCUCCAAGUGGCCAUUUUUUGUAAACAGAACGGUGAUGUGGGAUGAAUCAAGUCGGGUUACGGUGCCUAACUAUGUGUUAACCUAGAACCCAAAAGGGUAUUGGUCGAUUAAGACAAUCGGACGGGGUCAUGGAAGUCGAAAUCGCUAAGAGUGUGUAAUAACUCACCUGCGAAUUAACUAGCCCCAAGAAUGGAGUAAGCUCGUGACCUACACCCAACCAUCAUCGUGAAUGCUAGGCCUCGAUGAGUAAGAGGCACGGUCGCUGCGAAACGGGGCGUGAGCGGGCAUAGCAUCCGUUGGUGCGGAUCUUGGUGGUAGUAGCAAAUAUUUAAAUGAUAACUUUGAAGGUUAAAGAGGAAAGGUUCCAUGUGAACACUUUCACAUGGGUUAGUCGAUCCUAAGAGAUGGGGAAACCGUCCGAUAGCAUGCACCAUGCGAGCUUCAAAAGCGAAUCAAGUUAAAAUUCUUGAAUCGAGGAUGUGGCGGUUGAUGAAAGCGUUAGGGAGUCCAAGAGCGUUGUCGAGGGCCUUGGGAAGAGUGAUCUUUUUUGUUUAACAGGUUGGCCAUAUUGGUAAUAGUUUAGCGGAGGUUGGUCUAGCGGCUGGAAUAGCACCACACGCCGUGGUGUUUGGCGUGCCCUCUACGCCUUGAAAAUCGGAGGACCGAGUGCCUCCACGCGUUUAUAACCGCAUCAGGUCUCGGGUGAGCAACUUCUAGUCAAUGAAAUAAUGUAGGCAAGGGAAGUUGGCAAAAUGGAUCCGUAACUCGGGAAAAAGAUUGGCUUUGAGGGUUGGCCCAAGGGUCCCUAUCCGAACCCAUCGGUUGGUGGACGCUGCUCCGCUGAGAGUGGUUCGCCACGUCCCGAGGAUGGUGGAACAACUCUUUGGAGGCCUUCCCGCCUAACAAUGGCUCGAAUUGGUAUGGACAAGGGAAUCCACUGUUUAAUUAAAACAAAGCAUUGCGAUAGUCCCAGAUGCUAAUGCAAUGUGAUUUUACCCGUCUCAGAAUGUCAAAGUGAAGAAAUUCAACUAAGCGAGUAAACGGCAAGAGUAACUAUGACUCUCUUAAGGCCAAAUGUCUUGUCAUCUAAUUAGUGAUGCGAUGAAUGGAUUAACGAGAUUCUCACUAUCCUUAUCUACUAUCCGGUGAAACCAUAGUUCUUGGAACGGGCUUGGCAAUCAGCGGGAAAAAAGACCCGUUGAGCUUGACUUUAGUCGACUUUGUGAAAUGAUUUGAGAGGUGUAGGAUAAGUGGAGGAGCUGGAGAUGGCAAAAGUGAAAUACCACUACUUUAACGUUAUUUUACCUAUUACGUGAAUUGGAAGCGGGGCUCUCACCCCUUUUGUUAGAACCAAGACAUGCGCGUCUACUUGGGAAGACAUUGUCAAGUGGGGAGUUUGGUUGGGGUGGUACAUCGUUAAAAGAUAACGCAGGUGUCCUAAGAUGAGCUCAACGAGAAAUCUCGUUUGGAAAAAAAAGGGUAAAAGCUUCGUUUGAUUUUAAUUUUUAGUACGAAUACAAACCGCAAAGCAUGGCCUAUCGAUCCUUUAGAACUUCAAAAUUUGAAGUUAGAGGUGUCAUAAAAGUUACCGCAGGAUAAGCUUGUGGCACAUUCAGUUUGCUUUUGAUCCUUUGAUGUCGGCUCUUCCUAUUAUUAUGAAGUAGAAUUUACCAAGUGUUGGAUUGUUUACCCACCAAUAGGGAACUUAAGGGGGUUUAGAUCGUCGUGAGACAGUUAGUUUUACCCUCGAUAAUAGCGUCGCCAUAGUAAUUCAACUUAGUAUGAGAGGAACCGUUGAUUUGCACAAUUGGUCAUCACACUGGUUGAAAAGCUAGUGGCACAAAACCACCAUCGUUAGAUUAUAACUCAAUGAGUGUGCACUAAUUUGUUAACAAACAAAUGUCCUCAAACGAGGGUUUUGGAUUUUGAUGAAAAUUUGGAUUUCAAAUUCCCAUGAUCCAAAAAUGAAUGGUAGUUAAUUACAUCGAGUCACUAAAGUGGCGAAGACCUAUGAUUAUUGAUCGAGCAAA
rnacentral:rRNA from 1 species